rnacentral:sRNA from 1 species
GCCAGGCAUGGUGGCAACAUGUCUGUCAUCCCAGCUACUGAAGAGGCUGAGGUGGAAAGAUCACUUGAGCUAGGGAGUUGGAGGCUGCAGUGAGCCGUGAUCAAGCCGCUGAACUCCACGCUGAGCGACAGAGUGAGACUUUGUCUCAACAACAAUUGAUAAAAAAGACGGAUACCAAAAUCUUCAAUGAAAAUUCUA